rnacentral:misc_RNA from 1 species
GGACAAAAGGCUUCUCCAUAGAGGACACGUUUGGGCAAGAUGUGGUGGGAGAGUUGACAAAAGCCAUGGAAAGAGUUGGCCUUGACAUGCGUGUUGCAGCUUUGGUCAAUGAUACAAUUGGAACACUAGCUGGAGGUAGAUACUACAACCAGGAUGUUAUUGCUGCUGUAAUCUUGGGUACUGGAACUAAUGCAGCAUAUGUAGAGCGAGCACAAGC